rnacentral:rRNA from 1 species
GGUUGAUCCUGCCGGAGGCGACCGCUAUUGGAGUUCGAUUAAGCCAUGCGAGUCUAGAGGCUUAGGCCUCGGCGUACCGCUCAGUAACACGUGGAUAACCUGCCCUGUUCAGGGGGAUAACCUCGCGAAAGUGAGAAUAAUACCCCAUAGUUCACCAUGCCUGGAACGGUUGGUGGAUGAAAGCUCUGGCGGAACAGGAUGGGUCUGCGGCGUAUCAGGUAGUAGGGGGUGUAAUGGACCUCCUAGCCCUCGACGCGUACGGGUUGUGGGAGCAAUCGCCCGGAGAUGGAUUCUGAGACACGAAUCCAGACCCUACGGGGUGCAGCAGGCGCGAAAACUUGACAAUGCGAGAAAUCGUGAUCAGGGAACUCCAAUUGUCCCCGUUUUUACGGGGUUCUGAAUUGACUCUAAACAGGUCGAGUAAUAGGGGCGGGAAAUAUCGGUGCCAGCCGCCGCGGUAAUACCGAAGCCCCAAGUGGUCGUCGUUCUUAUUGGGCCUAAAACGUCCGUAGCCGGUUUGGUACAUUCGUGGGUAAAUCAGACAGCUUAACUGUCUGAAUUCUGCGAGCACGGCCAAACUUGAGACCGGGAGAGGUGUAGGGUACCUGCGGGGUAGGGGUAAAAUCCUGUCAUCCCGUAGGGACCACCAGUUGCGAAGGCUCUACACUAGAACGGAUCUGACGGUCAGGGACGAAGCCUAGGGGCACGAACCGGAUUAGAUACCCGGGUAGUCCUAGGUGUAAACGCUGUGGACUUUGUGUCGGGAAUUCUUCGAGGAUUCUCGGUGCCGGAGUGAAGAUGUUAAGUCCACUGCCUGGGGAGUACGGUCGCAAGGCUGAAACUUAAAGGAAUUGGCGGGGGAGCACUGCAACGAGAGGAGCGUGCGGUUUAAUUGGAUCAACGCCGGG